rnacentral:rRNA from 1 species
GCGAGUGAAGCGGUAAAAGCUCAAAUUUGAAAUCUGGUACUUUCAGUGCCCGAGUUGUAAUUUGUAGAAUUUGUCUUUGAUUAGGUCCUUGUCUAUGUUCCUUGGAACAGGACGUCAUAGAGGGUGAGAAUCCCGUUUGGCGAGGAUACCUUUUCUCUGUAAGACUUUUUCGAAGAGUCGAGUUGUUUGGGAAUGCAGCUCAAAGUGGGUGGUAAAUUCCAUCUAAAGCUAAAUAUUGGCGAGAGACCGAUAGCGAACAAGUACAGUGAUGGAAAGAUGAAAAGAACUUUGAAAAGAGAGUGAAAAAGUACGUGAAAUUGUUGAAAGGGAAGGGCAUUUGAUCAGACAUGGUGUUUUUUUAAUGUGCAAGUCUCUCGUGGACAUGUGCCUCUGGAAAUUAACACUGGGCCAACAUCAGUUCUGGCGGCAGGAUAAAUCAUUAAGAAUGUAGCUACCUCGGUAGUGUUAUAGCUUUUUGGAAUACUGCCAGCUGGGAUUGAGGACUGCGCUUCGGCAAGGAUGUUGGCAUAAUGGUUAAAUGCCGCCC